GGUUGUUUAGUUUAAUUAAAAUACGGGUUUUGUAAGUCUGGGAUAAAUUUUAUAUUUAUCAACCU
rnacentral:tRNA from 1 species